rnacentral:lncRNA from 1 species
UGUAGUUUACAUAUGAAUUAUGUUAUUUACAUAUUGUAGGUGUUCAAUGAUUCCACGACAUUAACAGAGGAGGAGUUGUAUGAUUUGCGAGACCGCUGGGCAACUUGUUUUCUUCAACUAUAUAAUCCCGAGGUAGAUUAUGAUGAUGCCGACGAGAAAGAUUAGAAGCUAGCUAGGUUUGUGUGAAGUUACAAUGGACUAGUUAUGAUGAUGUUUUAAUUUGUAUUUUGGAUGGAUUAGUAUUAAUUAUUAUGAUGUUUUGUAUUUUGGAUUACACUGUGGUUGUACUUUAAUGACAUUAUUACUAUAUAUAUGUUGAAUGNNN